UCCUCAGCUGAGUGAGUCGGUUAGGAACUGGUAGUCGACAUCGUUCUACUGCCAGGACGUUGCUUGCCCGAAUGCCACGACAGGGUUGCCUCCUUUUAUCUUAGAUCGACCCGCUCCGCCUAAGCAGCUUGCGCUCACGAAGGCGGAGAAGAUCGACAUCCAGCCUCUGGUCGAUGCACUCGUAGAUGUCGUCAGUAGGGGAGUCACCGACAUAUAUUUGGUGGAGGUUUUCCUCGGUCGGCGCAUCCAACCACUGCAGGCUCGCGACCACGCCAUG
rnacentral:lncRNA from 1 species